rnacentral:rRNA from 1 species
UCGGGAAUUUUGGGCAAUGGGCGCAAGCCUGACCCAGCAACGCCGCGUGAAGGAUGAAGCUUUUCGGAGUGUAAACUUCAUAAGAAUGGGGCGAAUAAAGAGGGGCUAAUACCCCCUCCUAUGACGGUACCAUUUGUAAGCUCCGGCUAACUCCGUGCCAGCAGCCGCGGUAAUACGGGGGGAGCAAGCGUUGUUCGGAUUUACUGGGCGUAAAGGGCGCGUAGGCGGCGCAACAAGUCACUUGUGAAAUCUCCGGGCUUAACCCGGAGCGGCCAAGUGAUACUGUCGUGCUAGAGUGCGGAAGGGGCUACUGGAAUUCUCGGUGUAGCGGUGAAAUGCGUAGAUAUCGAGAGGAACACCUGCGGCGAAGGCGGGUAGCUGGGCCGACACUGACGCUGAGGCGCGAAAGCCAGGGGAGCGAACGGGAUUAGAUACCCCGGUAGUCCUGGCCUUAAACGAUGGAUGCUUGGUGUCCGAGGUUACAUAGUCCUCGGGUGCCGGCGCUAACGCAUUAAGCAUCCCGCCU